GGAGAAGAAAACCUAAACCACUUUCCCUGGGUUUUGUUUAUUUUUGUUUUUUCUCUUUGUUCAUAAAAUGUUUAUAAAUGGGCAAGUCUAGGGGAGCUUUCUAAUUUGUGGAUGGUGGUUCCAAGCUGUGCCUAUACAGUUUUAUGACUGCUUAGUUCCAAAAUGUAUAAACACAUUACCCUUCUACAUAGCAAAAUGCCCAGGAGAAGGCAAUGUAAAAGAAAUGAAGCAGAGGAAAAUAUAUUGCACCAUUUUCUUUCUUUCUUUUUUUUACAUUUAAUUUAAAAUUGAUAUAAAGUGAUUUCAGCUUUGAGGAGCUACUGAAUACUUUCCACUCGCUGUUUCCUUGUUUUAUCUCAGCUGCACUUGUCCAACAAGCGAAUCCUACAUAACUUUUGAGAAAGUCCUCACAAGCAGCUUAUGAUUUUUGCAUUGGAGGACAGUAAUUCUUCUACCCAAGAAAUUGAUGACCUAAAGACAAGAAAUAGCCUCUUACUCAAGCACAAACUUCAGAAGAGAAUACAUCUUUAUUACUUGAUUUUCCUCAUGAUUCCAUUAUCUACCAGACCCUGCCUUUACAUCCCUCUCUAGCUAAUGUCCCCUAGUGCCAAAUCCUUCCUUCCUAGCCAAAAAAGGACAGAUCUUGCCUAAGUCAUAUCCUAGGAGGUCUCAGCAGUAAAGUAUGCAGAACCAAGGGAAAAACACAAAGAUAAAUACCAAAGGAUCUUCAUUUGACACUGCUUCAUCACCACUACCCUGCUCUCCUACCAAUAAACUAUUACCCCACGAUCACAGAUCCCUCUCUGAGAAGUUACUCAGAUGCCGCGGCACAAAAGGAUCAACUUCUGAAUGCUGGGUGACUAGCAAGUCAUCCUAGGAAAGUCACAAUGAGUAUUCUAAUCAAAGUGAAGGGGUCUAAACAGAGAAUGGAGGCUGAACCGUGAAAAGCAAAACACUUUGGCAGAAAAAGGCAGAAAUCAGAGUAUUUUUCUGAAUUUCCACCAAUUUGGUGGAAAGCCAACUUCUAAAAGAGUAGCUCUUCAGUAAGCAGGUUUUGUACUAGCUCUGUAAUAGAAAGCUUAAAAGAUCAUUUACUAAUCUGAAUUUCUAUGAGGAGAAGCACAGCUACACUUGCGGGCAAGUGCUUCCUAGACCAUGAAAGAUCUUAAAGGUACCUGCUCACACUUUCAACUGUGAUGAGCUGGUGAAGACUGGCUCAAAACCUCAGCACUGGUGUUGUGAGAAAUGUUUGACAGCCCUGGAGUUCAAAGACUGAUGUGCUUUCUUCUACUGGUUCUACGUAUUGGAACUAAGUAAAAAUCUUGAAAGUGAAAUAUUCUCAGAAUAGGAUCAUUCACUUGAUAAGCUUAUUUUGACUUCCUGAGAAAGGAAAGGGCAGAAAAAGAAAGAAAAAGACAUUGAAUCUUUACUUUCUCUGUUGACCUUGAAAGCAAUGAUGUUAAUUGGAGUAUAAUUUAAUUUCAAACUAUUUUCAUUUAAAAAGAAGAAAGGAAGAGGGGAAAAAAAAAAGGGAAAGGAAAGGAGGGAGGUAGAGAGUGAAGGAAGGGAGGAAGGGAAGGAGAGAGGAAAAAAGAGAAGUCUUAAGAUAAAAUCAUUAAACUCCUAAAACUGCAAGGAACCUUACAAGUGAUCUGGCCCAAUUUGGUGACCAGUUUGGUAAUCCCUUCUUCCCCUCCCCCUGUGUUGUUCAUCUAUCUUCCUGCUCAAUCACAGUGAAAAGGAACCCAGGCCCUUCUACCGUUAGAUAUAUCCACUUUAUUAUUCAGUUUUUCCCUUAUGUUGAGUUUAAAUUUGCCUUCUAAUAACUUUUACUCACUUGUCUUAACUCUACCCCUUAGACUGACUAAGGCAUGUCU
rnacentral:lncRNA from 12 species